rnacentral:rRNA from 1 species
UCCGGUAGGGAACCUGCGGAAGGAUCAUUA